rnacentral:rRNA from 1 species
UACGGAGGGUGCGAGCGUUGUCCGGAAUCAUUGGGCGUAAAGGGCGCGUAGGUGGCCCGGCCAGCGUGCGGUGAAAGCUCGGGGCUCAACCCCGAGUCGGCCGUGCGAACUGCUGGGCUUGAGCACUGUAGAGGCAGGCGGAAUUCCGGGUGUAGCGGUGGAAUGCGUAGAGAUCCGGAAGAACACCGGUGGCGAAGGCGGCCUGCUGGGCAGUGGCUGACACUGAGGCGCGACAGCGUGGGGAGCAAACAGG